CCUACGGGAGGCAGCAGUGAGGAAUAUUGGUCAAUGGGCGCGAGCCUGAACCAGCCAAGUAGCGUGAAGGAUGACUGCCCUAUGGGUUGUAAACCUCUUUUAUAUGGGAAUAAAACAGGGUAUGCAUACCCUCUUGUAUGUACCAUAUGAAUAAGGAUCGGCUAACUCCGUGCCAGCAGCCGCGGUAAUACGGAGGAUCCGAGCGUUAUCCGGAUUUAUUGGGUUUAAAGGGAGCGUAGGUGGAUUGUUAAGUCAGUUGUGAAAGUUUGCGGCUCAACCGUAAAAUUGCAGUUGAAACUGGCAGUCUUGAGUACAGUAGAGGUAGGCGGAAUUCGUGGUGUAGCGGUGAAAUGCUUAGAUAUCACGAAGAACUCCGGUUGCGAAGGCAGCUCACUGGACUGCAACUGACACUGAUGCUCGAAAGUGUGGGUAUCGAACAGGAUUAGAUACCCCAGUAGUC
rnacentral:rRNA from 1 species